GAGAUUGUGGAUGAGCAAGGCUGAGAAGAAGCACUGGCUAAGAAAAUGUGUGAGUGCACUUUCCCUCUCACACUUCCAUUAAAGCAUAAUUUCCUGAAGAAAAUAGAAACAUUGAUUAUGUUGUUGACAUCAUCAAAAUCCUAGCAACUCCAGGUUAUCUUUGAGUUAGGUCUAGACAUCCUAGGACAGAACAGAAGAUGGAAACUGUCGUGGCUGAAUACAGGACUUCUAGAUUCUUUUUCAGUCUCAUAUUGUUGCUUUCCUUUUGGGUCACAAAAUUGGAUCCUUUUAAGGACAGACUCAAUAUUGCAGUAAGCACUGACUAACCAAUGAUGCCAUGGGGUGCCAUGGUGCUGUAGGAUAAUGACUGUCCAAGAAAUCCUUGCCUCCACCCUCAUGGGGAGCCCAUAUCCACAGAGACUUCCUAAAGUCUGUUGCAGCCACCCUGAACAAGAAAUUCAAAUAUGCAUUUGAUUGUGAAUUUGGACCGAUGCAAAAACUGAUGUGCAAACACACCUGAGCUGGUGGGCAGUGCCUGCAAAAUGGGAGCCACCAAUGUUCUAUUCCCAGCUGCUGCAGUGGUGGAAGGCCCUUGUGCUGGGUGGUAGCUGCUCCACAGUGUGGCAAAUUGCAUUGCUGGCACCAAAGCUGCUGUUGUCGCUUCCAGCUCCAAACUGCUCUCGUCUUUGCGAUUCGUUACUGGGAGUGAGCGUUUUCUGCAUGUCAGGUUUUGGUUGCACAGGAAGUGUGAUCUCAACUGGAUUCCUGCCAAGGACAUACUUGCCACAGAGCUUCUAUCAGACUUCAGUUUUUUUGGUAGUGUUGCAAGUCGAUGGCCAUAAAUGGAUGGGAAGGUGCUCUUCUAUAACUACCAUGGGCACCCGAAUAAACUCUGUUUUCAUGCUGUGUGUUGAGACUCUGACAGGGGACAGGUUUGUUUGUGCUGCAAUGAGAUUCUGGCCCCACAGAUCUCUGCUCAUUUUUCAGGGUUUCUGUUUGGUUUUGCCUGUGCAGUCCUUGGCUGUGCCCUUUCCCCUCUUACUGCUCCUGCCAGCAGACUGAAAUGCCUUCAUUCAGCUUUUUCCCUUUUUUAAUCUGCUGGUGCCCUCUGAGGUAGAGCCAAACAGGAGCAUAAGCAUAGUUAUCACAGCCAUAAGGCAAUGCAAUGUAACUCUGCGCAUACAGUGUUUCUCUUUUAUUUUAUUUUUCUGUAAAAAAGAUGUCAUGUGAGAAGGAAAAAAAAGGUGAAAAAUAUCCAGUCUUUCUUGGUGCAGUUAGGAACCUCCCCAGCCACCCUGCAUGGCUCCCACCAUCUAUUAUCUGGGGACAAAUUUUCACCCACAUGCUAUGCUGCUACUCUGCUGAGAAUAUCCAGGACCCAAAAGAAGAUGGACCUAUGGGUGCUCUGGGUGGGGAGUGAGGCAAAGCACAACCUGUCCCAGUGGUGAGGCUGGCUGGGGUGCCAGCCGGUGGGUCUGAAGCCACCACCCCGCUCCUCAGCUGCGGGCUUUUCCAACAUGAUCUAUAGAGCGAUGCUGACAGUAGAUUUUCUGGCAGCAAUAAAGGUGGCCCGAUUCAGAGAAUAAUUACUGUAUGCAAAUGAGUGUGAUUUGCCUCUGCCCUUUUAUGGAUGACUCUGCUCUGCCAUUCAUCAGGGCCACAAAUUUCACUUGGUAGGAGACGGAUUUAAAGAGACAGCCGCCUCUAGAGCUUUGUCUCGGACUUACUAAAUCCAUGCUUAAGUGUCUUCAUAAAUAGACGUGCAUAUGUUAUAAAGGGGAUGGCAGAUUCCAGCCUCUUUAUCUAUGUAUUAUUGCUUAGAAAACUGUUGAGAAAACAUCCGACUCUAUGGCCAUACAGUAUAUGAAAGCUUUCACUGCUUUGAAUAACAGUCUCUUCUCAGAUCAGGGUUAUAUGUGGUUUAGUAUGGCCUCUAGUGUGUUUUUUCUCUCUCACUGUGUCCUUUAUGAUGUUUAUAUGGUAUGUGCCUCAGUGUGCAGUGGAGGAGGGAGAGAGUGCUAUAUUUUUUUCUGAUGACGAUUAGUUAAUGGCUAUCACGUUCACUGUAGUAAUGGUAGAGGCUGCACUCACAGCAAGAAGCCUCGGCAUGUUUGUGCUGUUGAGGUUCAGUCCAUCUGAUGGCUGGGAGGAAAUGUCCUGUAGUCGUGACAUUCCUGUUAUGGUCUUGAUCUGAUGAUGCCAUCAAUAUAUUUUGAUAAAAGGGGGAAGACUGCGGCAGAAAAAGAACCAAAUCAAAAUUUUUGUUUCUGAGCAUGGUGUGAGCCGGGUGGGUGAGCAGGAAAAGAAAACUGUGAUGAAGUCAAUCUGUUUUUAUUCCCUGAUGCUGGACACAGGAACAGGGUGGUGUGUUCACAGGAAGUCUGCAGUACUUAAUGUGUCACUGCUAAAUAUCAGUUUGUGCACUUGCUCCCAGCGUGUGCUGUGCACCCACCUCCUCAGCGCACGGAGGAGAAGGAAAGGAGGGAGCUAUAAAUGAAACAGGCUCGUCUGUCACUGGGCUGUCUUGUUACUCAUGUGGCAGCAAUACACCGGUGUCAGUACAUCCACAACACUUUUCUCCCAGUGCCACUCAAAAAACAGAGGACAGAAGCUGUGGUGUUUCGGCGUUUGUCGACAAUGUGCACCACUAGAGGCCAUCACACACUUCCCUAAAUAAAUAUCAAUUAAUGCAUUUGUUUUUGGGGAAUUCCUGGGCCCCUUAAUCUAGCCUUGUGGCACUAGUACUUCAGUUCUGGGUUCAGGUCCUUUGGCUAAGACAUCUGUGCAAAAUAUACUUCAAGAGAGAAGCUGUUUUAAGGAAGCCUUUGGUCCAUAUACAGAAUGCAUCAGACUUUUCCUUUGAAUACAACAAGUGGGUAUCAAAUGAAAGUGAAAAAAACUGGGCCCAUUUUCCUCGGGCUAUCAAGAAAAGUGGGCAACACUUUCAGGCAAAUGGGGAAGUUUACUUGCUUCUAAAGUUUGUGCCUUGUUCACUUCCAAUUUUGGCAUAUUUUCUGUUUUUAGGAACACUCCUGUCCAGUGUGGAGUUCACCUGUGAUUAAGGUGAACUGGAGAGCCUGGUGCUCAUGCUCACACAAGGAGAAGAGCAGCCACCACUGUCAAUGAGCGGACACCCUGCAUUGCUGUUGGGGAGCAUUUUGCAUGGAGAUCCACAAGACAUUUAAGACUGAGGCCUUUUGAGACUGAUUAAGCCAGUGCUGCUGGUGGCUUGUGAGUGUGGGAGUAAGGCCUGCUGUGCUGCAAAAUCUCCAGGUCACAGAUAGAGGAAAGAGAAGGAAUGGGGGAGGAAAGGUCAUUAAAUAUCCACAAAAGUUUCCAUUGAAAGUGUGGCUUCGUGUGUCUGUAUCCCUUCCUACCUAGAACUUUCUUCCUUCCUUUUCAGCCUCUCCUUCUUCUGAUCCUCUGUGAAUACAAUGAGAGACAGUUUCUGCACCCUGGAUAUUGCACCACAUGUGGUUUGAAUAUGUACACAUAUAGGGCAAGCUCUGGACUUAUUGCACAUUUUUAGUAGUACACACUAUAAGCUAGGCCCUGGUGAGGCAAUCAAGAAGAAAGUUCUCUGCUCCAAGGAUUUUGCCAUCUAAGAGUGCUGGCAAAAGUUGACAGAGGGUAGAGGGGGAGAAAUAGAAAGUUUAUAUACAGUCGGCUGUACUUGACAGGAGCAAUUUAAUGCAUAGAUGGGACAAGGUCCUGCAGGUGAUCUCUGGGAGGUCUUGCUGGAUAUCCAGACUCACAUAGGUGAAGUCACAGAGGCAGCUGCAAAGCAACCAGAC